GUGGCUAUUCCUUCUAUGUUUA
rnacentral:miRNA from 1 species